UACGGAGGAUGCAAGCGUUAUCCGGAAUGAUUGGGCGUAAAGCGUCCGCAGGUGGCUGUGUAAGUCUGCUGUUAAAGAGUGAGGCUCAACCUCAUAAAAGCAGUGGAAACUACACGGCUAGAGUGCGUUCGGGGCAGAGGGAAUUCCUGGUGUAGCGGUGAAAUGCGUAGAGAUCAGGAAGAACACCGGUGGCGAAAGCGCUCUGCUAGGCCGCAACUGACACUCAUGGACGAAAGCUAGGGGAGCGAGUGGG
rnacentral:rRNA from 1 species